rnacentral:rRNA from 1 species
UGCUAUCUAAUACACUGAAGGCACCAUAUCCCAUCUGAUCUUGGAAGCUAAACAAGAUUAGCCCUGGUUAGUACUUAGAUGACAGACCACCAAAGAAAACCAGGUGCUGUAGGGU